ACGCCACAUAAGUACCAGGUAUCACUUGCGUACUUAGACGUACGUACUCGGUUACUGUGACCGCGACACAUCGGAGCCACACAAACAUCUGUAGGAACAUAACCUCACAGCGAGGUCGGUCCCGCCACGUACUGGACUAUUUACACUGGACGAAGCAACUCGUCCCCUAACAACUCGCCACGGAGCGGGCCUUACAGCGCUGUGUCCGUUAUUUAAGGACUUCUAAUCUAGUGAUGGCUUAUUUGUUGUGCUAGCAGUAACUUAAUCUCCGACUAGCCUUAUUUGUAAAAAAAAAAUUAAGUAAUGCGGUUUUUACCUCAUAAUGUUCACCUGCGUCUGUUUUAAAAGGUUACUAAGGUAUUUUCCACGUUUCCCAUUCCUCUUCUUUCCAAUUAACAUCGACCUCAAACUUUUCACUCGAUUAUUUCACAGAUCUAGUUAAGCGAAAUCUCAUUGGUCUUUUCAUCGAAACGUCUUUCUUGGGAGAGCCUCGGGACGGGUCGACCGGAUUGAUUCCAUCGGCCUCGCAGAAGACUGGCGUAAAUCAACAUUUUACUUAUUUCGCUACCUGAGUGAGGCUACCGGAGACCCAACCCACCCCCCCCAUCCCCCAAAGGUUGGCAAUAUACUUAUAACACCUCUUGUGUCCAUGGGCGACGAUGAUAGCAUACCGUCAAGUGAUCCGUCUGCUCGAUUGCCAUCCUAUCCCAAAAUAAGAAGGCACCAUCAAGAAACUCAGGCUCUCCCUAUUUGUAGGCAACCGUUAUUUCUGAGAAUAAUAUUAAAACUCACGAAAGUACCUAAAUAUCUUACUAUAACUAACCUAAACUUGAACUAUUUUAACUAUUUAUUGAUUACUUAUCUUGACAACUGUCAACUUGAGACCGAUAGGUCUCCUUAUUUAUAAGAUCAGUGCCAACGAUGGCGCUAUUUGUAAAACAACAUGCUAUACGGCUAUUAAAUACAAAGGAUUUGUGAGUUCACAGGUAGGAACUACACCUUCUUGGGCGGCGAGAACAGCAGCAGCGAUGGUGGCAGAUGGUAACUAUGCGCGGGAAUGAGAUCGUGUCCUUGUGACAUUUAAAAGCCGAUGCGUUAUUUUUAUUUUCUCAAUGGUUUAAUUAAGAGGUGUAAUUCCUAAUUAACAUACGAAGCCUGUCUUUUGAUGUUAAUCAGUAAUUAAUACCUCUUCUUUCAAAUUAGACUUAUACGAGAUCUGUGAUCUGUUCGAGUGACACGAGGGCUAGAUGCCUUUCUAUCAUCCCUUGCCUCCUUUCCUCUCUAAAUCUUCCUUCUUAUUCGUCACUUGGUCAGAUACUCCAAUGUCAAGUAUCAAGGAUGGUUCUCAUCAUCCUAGGUUUUGAUAGGAGCAGUAGGAAUACGAGCAGGUCUUAGCCAUCGGAUUAGGUAGUGCAGUGGCGUUCUGUAUCUUACACUAUCCUUACUUCAUUAAAUCUAUCGUUAUUUUACUCAAUUAUUCUAACGUAGUUAUAAGGUUAUCGGUAUGCCAGUGUGUAUGAAAGUUAUUAAAUUGUUUGUAAGCUGUAUGAAAAGUGAUCGGAAUGUGUGGAUGCUGUGUGAAAGGAUGCAUUAAGAUGGAAGGCGGAGGAUAUAGAGUAGGGAUAACCAUCCCAAAAAUGUUUCGAAAUUGCCGGUCAACGUACGUUUUGCAAGCAGUGUAAUCAGUCUCAUUGGAAGUUGUCUCAAUAUGGAUAGUAGCGUGCUGAAAAUUUACCUCAAAAUGUAUGAGAGAUGGAUGAACGUUCGCUAAAAAGUAUGCAAGAUGAAUAAUGAAAGCUUUCUUUUAUUUCAACUUAUUUUAUUGAAUGAAAUAAUUCAUUCGCAAUGUAUGAUGUAAAACCAAGCGCUGACGUUUUUCUGAAUAUUAUUAUAUAAUUUUAAUUAAUCAAACAGGUCAUUAAAGAUAAGUACUGCAGGUAUUCAAAUGCCCGCAUGUUGGAGCACAUUUAUUAUUCUUUUUUAUAUGAGUUUAUCAAAUUACCUUGCGACAUUAUUCUGUGUUAUGUAAACGUAAAAUAUAAGUCGGUGUUAGCAGUAGCAUUGUAUACCUGUCCGGGUCAUUAAACGCUUGUAUGUGUCAUUUGGUUUUUAUUUAUAUUUACCUAAUUAAUCUUCUGUUUGUACUAAAGAGUUUGUCUUUAAAGACUGCAAAAAUCUAAUUAUGUUUCCUAAAUUCACAAUGUAACACAGAGAUUAAUAUCAAAUUGAAACUGCCUCACGUCUAAUUUUAUUCAUUACGAGGAACUGCGCAGUAAAGAGGAAGUGAAAUAUUGUUUUGGUAUAUUCUGAAAUUCAUUUAUAAUUCUUAUGUUCACAGGAGGAACCGGGUGUAAAAUCUAAUUAAUGGAGCGUCAUUCCACAAUACCUCAAUGGAAUUACAGGACAGAGUGUUGACAUAUUUUUCAUAGUUACUUUUGAACAAAUAAAUUUUUAGUUUGACAUAUUUCCAUCUCCUACUGUGGUGUUUUAUAAUAUUCAUUCUCAUACAGGUCUAACGGUUAAAGACCGGGUUGUGGGGCAUCAGGUCCUGGAUUCGAUGCCAGGCUGGUUUAUCCAACUGCGUUGUAAGUUCAAAGAAAUACAUUUAUUAAAAAAAUAUGUAUGAGAUGAUAACAUGUAACUUUUUCUAUUUAGGGGCCAGCUAUAGGCGCCAGCAGCAGUAACAUGGGCCAACACUCAUGAUCAUCAGCUGGAAGACAUCCACUACUAAACGGAGGCCUUCAUUUAGCCCUCAACAUCGAACAAUGACUCAUCAGUCAUCCAAUGACUCCCCGUGACUGACGAAGUCUGCCAAUGCUACGUCUAACGGUACCAGCCACGGGCGCCAGCAGCGGUCCGGUCGCCAGCAGGGGACCAGUGCUGAGCUUCAACCUCGCCAAAAGUCUUCCACAUCGGCCUGUGGAAACGCCUUUCAAAUUCAGUCGUUUUAUAUCAUUAAACAAUGAAAUUGUGUGUAUUU